rnacentral:rRNA from 1 species
CACGUAGGGUGCAAGCGUUGUCCGGAUUUACUGGGCGUAAAGAGCGCGCAGGCGGUCGUUCAAGUCGCGUGUGAAAGCCCCCGGCUCAACUGGGGAGGGUCACGCGAUACUGAUCGACUGGAAGGCAGGAGAGGGUAGUGGAAUUCCCGGUGUAGUGGUGAAAUGCGUAGAUAUCGGGAGGAACACCAGUGGCGAAGGCGACUACCUGGCCUGUUCUUGACGCUGAGGCGCGAAAGCUAGGGGAGCAAACGGGG